GACGAACGCUGGCGGCGUGCUUAACACAUGCAAGUCGAACGGAAAGGCCCUGCUUUUGCGGGGUGCUCGUGUGGCGAACGGGUGAGUAACACGUGAGUAAACUGCCCCUGACUUUGGGAUAACUUCAGGAAACUGGGGCUAAUACCGGAUAGGAGCUCCUGCUGCAUGGUGGGGGUUGGAAAGUUUCGGCGGUUGGGGAUGGACUCGCGGCUUAUCAGCUUGUUGGUGGGGUAGUGGCUUACCAAGGCUUUGACGGGUAGCCGGCCUGAGAGGGUGACCGGCCACAUUGGGACUGAGAUACGGCCCAGACUCGUACGGGAGGCAGCAGUGGGGAAUAUUGCACAGUGGGCGGAAGCCUGAUGCAGCGACGCCGCGUGCGGGAUGACGGCCUUCGGGUUGUAAACCGCUUUCGCCUGUGACGAAGCGUGAGUGACGGUAAUGGGUAAAGAAGCACCGGCUAACUACGUG
rnacentral:rRNA from 1 species